UCUGUGAAUGGUGCAACUGACAUGGCAAGUAAGACAGUGACUUUUGAUACCACUGAAAAUUGUCUUGCUGAUUCAGGUGUGGCCCAUGAUAAUCAAGAGUGUGAAAACAAAAAUAUUAAGGAUUUUGAGGCUUCUGACAAGGGUGCUCUUGAACUUUGUGGACAGCAUACUGUGAAGGAGAUUAAUGAACAAGAAAAUGCUUAUUCUUGGUCUGAUAAUGUACCUUCCUAUGAGAACUCCAAGUUGAAUCACCACAGUACUUGCGAGGGGGAAAGAAAGUCAUCUUCUGUUUCCCAGUCUGGGUCUGAUGCAAAUUGUGAGGGGAAAACUCUUCAGGCUUCAGAUGGUGAAGAUAAAGAAGGUGCUGAUUGCAAGUUAAAUGGAGAAAUUAAUGCUGUUAACCAUGCUUGCCAUACUCUUGAUGAGGGCUCUGUGCACAAUUCUACUGAAAUUCUUACUCAAACUCAUGAUGCCAAUCAUGUACCUAUAUUAAAAGUUUCUGGUGAGAAUUUUACUAGUCAGGAUUCAGUGGCUACAAAUCUGGAAACAGCACAAAAUGUUGCAAAUGAUUGUGAUGCAAAUUUCCCUGAUGAUAGUACCCCUAUUUCUUUCUGUCCAGAGGAUAUUCCUGGAAGUCAUGAACCAGACGUAGAUGCUUCAGUUCACAAUAAUUGCUUUCCUUCUGGUGGGAAUAUCAAUAAUGCAUCUUUUCGGAAUUCUCAGACUUCUUAUAUGAGUGAUGGACUCAGCAAGUCCUCUGAGGUUCAAUCAGUUGUUGAUAAUAAUGUUACUUGUGUGGUAAAAACAUCAGCUUUGAAUGAUCCUGUUGGGAUGGGCCAAACUUCUUGUGUGGUUACAGGGAAUGAAAUCCACCACCUUAAACAAGAAUUUACUGCUGCUCAAACUGACUCCCAUUUGGUUGCGGAUUCUCUUCUCAACGGUCCUCACAUGAGUGCCAACAGUACCAAGCAAUCCAAAUCUGGUUCUCAGGUUGACCAGACAAGCGUUGCAGUGUGUGAAGUUGAGCCCUUGUAUAAAUCAAGCUCCAGUUCUGGUCCAACUCUCCUCUGUACCUCUAGCAGUUGCAAUGAAUCUGCUAUUCCUAAGGUAGCAUCACGUAGGAUGUUGAGGAGUGGUAAGCUAUGCUAAUUUCAUCUAGCUUGAUGCAUGGACCUCCAGGGUUGAAAAGCAUGUUUGUCGUAAAGAUACAAUUAUUUCUGUUUGAGGCCAUGCUCAAAGGGGAAUCUGCCUUGUUUGGGGAUAGGAACUAUGUAAAUAAUGAAUUUGUGUGAGUAUUUUGUAGUGCAGUUCGUAGAAGAAUAUUAAGAAAAGAAAGAUUUAAGUUUCAACAAUCUAACUAAUAGAUUGUUCCUUUCUGUGACAAAUGUGAAUAUUUUAACUUGAAAGGCAACGGAGAUAAUUUCUUUUUGAGGAAUAUCGCGUCUCUGAUUCCAGUGUCAUGUACAAAUUCACAGGAGCAUUUUUGCAGUACAUAUAUAUAGGGUGAUCGAAUCUCUUGACUUGGGAAGCCGGUGCAUCAUUUCAAGGGGGUUAAAGCUGGAGCUAGUGAUAAUGUUAGGGUUUUGUAAUUUCUUUAUCUUUGUGCUGUUGACGAUGUUUCAGACUUCGCUAUAAAAUUUUAAUGAUGUAGAUCUUCAAUAAUUAUAACUUAAUAGUUUUAUCCUGCUCUGUGCUCAUUGUAAAUGGUACCAACAAUUGUUUUGCUCAAUUUUAGGUUAUUUCCCUCUUUAUAUAUAGGGUAUCUGGGAACGUUUGGAAUA